rnacentral:rRNA from 1 species
UGCGUAGGCGGACUUUUAAGUCAGUGGUGAAAGCUGGUAGCUUAACUAUCAAAUUGCCAUUGAAACUGAAAGUCUCGAGUAUGGUUGAGGUGGCCGGAAUGUAUCAUGUAGCGGUGAAAUGCUUAGAUAUGAUACAGAACACCAAUUGCGAAGGCAGGUCACUAAACCAUAACUGACGCUGAGGCACGAAAGCGUGGGGAGCAAACA